rnacentral:rRNA from 1 species
GGGGAAUUGGCGGCCGCUAGACUGCGGUCGAGCGGACUUGAUAGAAGCUUGCUUCUAUCAAGUUAGCGGCGGACGGGUGAGUAACACGUGGGUAACCUGCCUGUAAAAUGGGGAUAACUCCGGGAAACCGGAGCUAAUACCGAAUAACACUUUCGCUCGCAUGAGCGGAUGUUAAAAGACGGUUUCGGCUGUCACUUACAGAUGGACCCGCGGCGCAUUAUCUAGUUGGUGAGGUAACGGCUCACCAAGGCGACGAUGCGUACCCGACCUGAGAGGGUGAUCGGCCACACUGGGACUGAGACACGGCCCAGACUCCUACGGGAGGCAGCAUUAGGGAAUCUUCCGCAAUGGACGAAAGUCUGACGGAGCAACGCCCCGUGAGUGAUGAAGGUUUUCGGAUCGUAAAACUCUGUUGUUAGGGAAGAACAAGUAUGAGAGUAACUGCUCGUACCUUGACGGUACCUAACCAGAAAGCCACGGCUAACUACGUGCCAACAGCCGCGGUAAUACGUAGGUGGCAAGCGUUGUCCGGAAUUAUUGGGCGUAAGGCGCGCGCAGGCGGUUCCUUAUUUCUGAUGUGAAAGCCCACGGCUCAACCGUGGAGGGUCAUUGAAAACUGGGGAACUUGAGUGCAAAAGAGGAAAGCGGAUUUCCACGUGUAGCGGUGAUAUGCGUAGAGAUGUGGAGGAACACCAGUGGCGAAGGCGGCUUUCUGCUCUGUAACUGACGCUGAGGCGCGAAAGCGUGGGGAGCACACAGGAUUAGAUACCCUGGUACUCCACGCCGUAAUCGAUGAGUGCUAAGUGAUAUAGGCUUCCGCCUUUUAGUGCUGCAUCUAACGCAUUAAGCACUCCGCCUGGGGAGUACGGCCGCAUGGCUGAACCUAUUGGAAUUGACGGCGGCCCGCACUAUCGCGGAGCAUGUGGUUAAUUCGAGCCACGCGAAGAACCUUACGAGUCUUGGACUCUUUGACCACUCUUAAUUAGUAGCUUUCCCUCUCCGGGAGAACAAAGUUGACUGCGGAGCUGGGC